CCGGCCGCCCGCGGCGCUCGCAAAGUUCGGAUCCGCAAGGACCGGGCCAGCGGGACGUCCGCGUGGCAGGGUGCACUUUCUCCGCGGUCGAGUGCUACGACCGGUUUCGCGGCGGUCAGAAGCCCGGCGGAAAGGUAGCGCCGCCCCUCGGGGUGUCGUGUUAUAGGCCGCCGCGGUGGACUCGCCGCGAGACCGAGGACGCUUGCCGCGCCGAGCGGUCCCGGGCCGUCUUGGGUGGUUCGACCUCGGCUGCACUGCUCCGCAGAGCACCGUAACCGCCGCCCUAGCACGGGUCCGGAGACUGCCGGCGCCUCGGGUCAGUAGCG
rnacentral:rRNA from 1 species